rnacentral:lncRNA from 1 species
GUCAGUACUUUCAGGCCAUAUCCAUUUCUCACAUUACUGCUACUUAUCCUCUCCCCAUUGGAAUGUACUAAAACGUGUAAUCUGUAAUGAAAAAGGGGUUUUAUUCUGCCUUUAUUUGGCUCCCAAAGUUAUGUUUUUUGUUAAUGUGUGGCUCCCUUAUUACUGCAGAGAGAGCAGGUGAACCAAACAUCUCAAGAUGUCCAGUUUGGCGGCUGCCAGUUGUGAGUCAGAAGCCCCGACCGCGGGAUCCCAGGAAAAGAAGCCCUUGAAACCAUGCUGUGCGUGUCCUGAGACAAAGAAAGCUCGUGAUGCCUGGUGAGUAUUACUGCAUGCUCCAGGAAAUAAAUGUUAUUAGGAGACCUUUAAUACCGCCAAUCCUUCGAGAUCCCCCAAACAGUCAUACAGUGACCUUGUACAUUGUGCAAACAAACUGCACAAAGGUACAGAGCUCUGGGUGAGGGUAUGAAGGUACAGAGCUCUGGGUGAGGGUAUGAAGGUACAGAGCUCUGGGUGAGGGUAUGAAGGUACAGAGCUCUGGGUGAAGGUAUGAAGGUAGAGAGCGCUGAGUGAUGGUAUGAAGGUACAGAGCCUUGGGGUAUGAAGGUAUAAGGGUUCAGAGCUCUGGGGUAUGAGGGUAAAGAGCACUUAGUGAGGGUAUGAAGGUACAGAGGUCUGGGUGUGGAUACGAAGGUACAGAGGUCUGGGUGAGGGUACAGAGGUCUGGGUGAGGGUAUGAGGGUACAGAGCGCUGAGUGAUGGUAUGAAGGUAGUGUGUGGGUAUGACUAUACAGAGGUGUGUGGGUAUGUGUGGGUAUGACUAUACAGAGGUCUGGGUCUGAAGGUACAGAGGUCUGGGUGUGGGUAUGAGGGUACGGAGGUCUGGGUGAGGGUAUGAAGGUAGAGAGCGCUGAGUGAUGGUAUGAAGGUAGAGAGCCCUGUGUGUGGGUAUGACUAUACAGAGGUCUGGGUCUGAAGCUACAGAGGUCUGGGUGUGGGUAUGAGGGUACAGAGGUCUGGGUGUGGGUAUGAGGGUACAGAGGUCUGGGUGAGGGUAUGAAGGUAGAGAGCGCUGAGUGAUGGUAUGAAGGUAGAGAGUGCUGUGUGUGGGUAUGACUAUACAGAGGUCUGGGUCUGAAGGUACAGCGCUCUGGUUGUGGGUCUGAAGGUACAGCGCUCUGGUUGUGGGUCUGAAGGUACAGCGCUCUGGUUGUGGGUCGGAAGGUACAGCGCUCUGGGUGAGGGUAGGAAGGUACAGCGCUCUGGGUGAGGGUAGGAAGGUACAGCGCUCUGGGUGAGGGUAUGGAGGAGAUGGAGACUGCUUGCCUCAGUGAGCAUAAUCCUCUGCUAUGAGAUAACUGGCAUUGGACCCGUAAUAAUGUAAUAUAUAGACUGGCUUGUUAUAAAUACCACUCGCAGCUGAUGUAAGUAAUAUACACACACCAUGCUAUAAUCCUUGUGUCUGUCUGCAGCAUCAUCGAGAAGGGGGAGGAGCAUUGCCAGGAGCUGAUCGAGGCUCACAAGGAGUGCAUGAGGUCACUCGGGUUCAAAGUGUGAGCGCAGGACAGACAGUGUGUGUAUGGUAAGUGUCUCGUUGUUACUGUUACAUGUAUUCAAAUGCAAACACUUGGCACAUCCAAUCUGUGAAACAGCCUGCCCACAGCGCUUGCAGCAAAGGCUUUAUGGCUUUGGUAUAAUUACAGUAAUUUCUGGUUAGGGGACACUAUAGCGUUGGCCAUACAAAUGUAUAUUCCUAACACUAUAGUGUCCCCACACGUAAAGAGUAAAAAGGUGUUUACUAACCAUUUCUCCCACAACUUGCAGCUCUCUCCGCGACUAGCCCCGACUCCUUAGCUGAGAUCAUCAGUCUUGAUGAUCUCAGGAAUUCCAAUGUUUUUCCAUAGGAGAGCAUUGGGAGACUAGUGUGCACAUGCGGCAAAUCAGACAGUGUCUGUGAGACCAUCUGAAUGAAAUAGCCGGGUUCCCAGGAAUGUAGUCCUUGCCGGUCCUCCAGGGUUAAAAUCAGGGGGACAGUGAGAUGUUGAAGUGGUCUGGGCGACUGCCUAUAGAGUCCCUGUAUGGUCUUCACCAUAUGACAAUAUACAGAGAGUGGAGCAAAGUAUACUAACUCACACUCCACGAACUCUGUACUCAAAUAGGGCAGGAGAAUAGAAAGAAUAUGGAGUGUCCCAGGUAGGUGAGGAAGAAUGAAUCCACGAGGAUUUAGUUCAGAUUCAGGCCCCGUACCCAACACCACAACUAGUGAAAGAGGUGAGACUAUUCUCUCAUAGUGAUGGGAGCUGGUCGUAUUAGCUGGUGCUGCAUUGGGAACUUUCUCCAAAUCCAUUCUAGUUACAGCUCAAUUAUUUUAGCCAAACUUAUUUUGUUUUCAGUUCACUGUUUGUCUAAUUGCGCCUAUUCUGGAAAACGCUUUCUAAAUAUUGUAAUCACUUUGUUAUUAUUGUAUAUUAUUGUAGUCUUAAUGCUGCAGAAUUCAAAUGAAUUGCUUUUCUUUUUCUUUUCAAUAGGUUCCCUGUGUGCUUCUUCUGGAAUUUUAACUUAUUUCUUUGGAGAACAAAUAUUUCUAAAUGAUGGUCUUGCUGGGGUUUUUACAGGUGGAGUGAAGGAGAUAUCCGGUAAUAUUUCCUUCUGGGAUAAACAGAGUGCAUUUCUCCCUGUCUGCUGAGGGAUUCAAUGUAUAAAUUCUAUUUUUGAAUUAAACACGCAGAAUAUGAGUGUGUGUUUUUUGCUGAGUACCCUGCCUGACUCCUGUUUCUAGGAUAUCUGGAUUCAUUCUGUUGUCCGAUCACUGUUAUUGAAGCGAUGCCUGACCUGUGUAGACAAAUCAUCCAUUUUGACACCGCUGCUCUUAGAGCUAUUCCACUGCUAGACCCUUUAGGUCUUCGUGUUUAAGGUUUGUCUUAAAAUCUCUUGUUGCAGGAUUCUGGUACUCACUUACAAAUCUCUACAUAAUGCGGCUCUGACCUACUUAUUCUCACUAAUUCACAGUAUGUCCCAUCUAGGCCCCUACACUCUGCUGGAGACCUAACCUCUGUUCAUACUCCCACCUCUGAUGCUCACCUUCAUGACUUCUCUAGGACUACACCGUUCCUAUGGAAUGCUCUUCCCCUCUCUGUUAGACUUUCACCCAGUCUCCACUGCUUCAAAAAAUACUCUCUUCUUUUGGAAACCAAAUCCAUUAAACUGUUAACAGCUUUACCUCCUCGCACCCUGAUUCCUCUCCAGGAACUGUCAUCAAAACAAAACACCAAGCUCUCAAUGAACACUAGCCUGGCAAACUACUCUUCUACCCUACUUUUACCUUUUGUGUCACAUUACCCCACUCCCUCUAGCAUGUAAACUCACUGACCUGGCCCUCGAUCCCUCUGUUACUGUGUCACUAUACCCCACUCCCUCUAACAUGUAAACUCACUGACCUGGCCCUCGAUCCUUCUGUUACUGUGUCACUAUACCCCACUCCCUCUAACAUGUAAACUCACUGAGCAGGGCCCUCAAUCCCUCUGUUACUGUUUCACUAUACCCCACUCCCUCUAACAUGUAAACUCACUGAGCAGGCCCUCAAUCCCUCUGUUACUGUGUCACUAUACCCCACUCCCUCUAACAUGUAAACUCACUGAGCAGGGCCCUAAAUCCCUCUGUUACUGUGUCACUAUACCCCACUCCCUCUAACAUGUAAACUCACUGAGCAGGACCCUCAAUCCCUCUGCUACUGUGUCACUAUACCCCACUCCCUCUAACAUGUAAACUCACUGAGCAGGCCCUCAAUCCCUCUGUUACUGUGUCACUAUACCCCACUCCCUCUAACAUGUAAACUCACUGAGCAGGCCCUCAAUCCCUCUGUUACUGUGUCACUAUACCCCACUCCCUCUAACAUGUAAACUCACUGAGCAGGCCCCUCAAUCCCUCUGUUACUGUGUCACUAUACCCCACUCCCUCUAACAUGUAAACUCACUGAGCAGGGCCUCAAUCCCUCUGUUACUGUGUCACUAUACCCCACUACCUCUAGCAUGUAAGCUCAUUGAGCAGGGCCCUCAGUCCCUCUGUUCCUGUGUGUCCAACUCGUCUGGUUACAAAUGCGUGUCUGUUAGUCCACCCAUUGUACAGCGCUGCAGAAUUUGUUGGCAUUUUAUAAAUAAGAAUAAUAUUUUCUUGUUUCUUCAUAUACUCUGCUCUGUACCCGCUGUGUGCA